CCAAGACCACAAAUCAAGAAACUUUACAGCCAUCUCUCUCUCACUUCUUUUCAUGCUUCUCUGAGAGAGACAAUAUUUUUCAUACAAAUCUUCCUCUCUCUUCCUCUCUCCUCAAUCUAUUCUGCUCACCCUCUGAUCUUCUGGGCUGGGCUUUGUUUCAAACUUGUCUUUCCUACCAGCCUUACUGUUUUCCGAAGUGAGGCACAGUUUUUAUAGUGCCUUACAACAUAUAUCCAAACUUUUGUCAUGGUAGAGUCAUGGUAGCCAGUGCAUGAACGAAAGGAUGGUAUCUUUGACCAGAAAAGGACGCCUUGCUAUCAUUCCUGCAGGCAGUAGUAGCAGAUAUGAAAAGAAAUAUAAAUCUCAAGCCCAUUUAAUGAUCUGUGUAUCCACUGACACUAAAUCUCCCCCCAAAAUGAAAAAGGGAAUCUAUGUAAACCAUGGAGAAAUUGUUCUGGUGGAAAUGAAACACUGCAAGAAUUCACUCUGCAACUGAUCUGGUAAUCUCUGCCUAAGUGAUGAUUCUCAGGAACCAAACUCUGUGAUGCUGACAACAACCUGCACAAGGAAAUCGUUAUGGACCAGGUCUCUAUCAACACAUCACACUGAUGCAGGCUCUUUAUGGGCUGAUUCCCUGGCUUAGCUUCUUUGGGAGAAAAAAUCUUCAGACAUUUACCAUUAUGGAUGAGAAGACCAGACUGCUGUAUUUGUCUCAUCACUAAGGACAAAGGAAAGUGAAAAAACUGCCAGUCAUUUCACCUGAAAGAAAGAAACAGAAACUCAUUUUCAGAGCACUGAGAGAAUAAGAAAUUGUCUACGUACUACACAGGGAAGUUCCAGCUACAAGAAAGAAUAUUUUGCAGCAAGUUCAAUCAUCCAGAACUGAAAAAAAAAGACAAAUAUGGAAUUCACUAUAGCCACGAGGGCUUUGUCAACACCUCCAUGUUCUAUGCAGAGAACAUCACUCAGCUUCAAAACAUAGAAUACCUACUAUUGUGUUUAAAACAAUAAGAUUUUUUUCUAUUCUAUAUAAUACAAAAUCUGCAAGUCUUCUAAAAUCAUCCCUGUUCAUACACAGAACCGAAUGUAAAUAUUUUCCCUUUUAUUAUGUAUAUAAAAUAUUGUAUCUAGCAAUGCUUUAACAAAAAACAGUUGAAAAAAUAAA